GAUGAACGCUGGCGGCGUGCCUAAUACAUGCAAGUCGAGCGAACGGACGAGAAGCUUGCUUCUCUGAUGUUAGCGGCGGACGGGUGAGUAACACGUGGAUAACCUACCUAUAAGACUGGGAUAACUUCGGGAAACCGGAGCUAAUACCGGAUAAUAUUAUGAACCGCAUGGUUCAAAAGUGAAAGACGGUCUUGCUGUCACUUAUAGAUGGAUCCGCGCUGCAUUAGCUAGUUGGUAAGGUAACGGCUUACCAAGGCGACGAUGCAUAGCCGACCUGAGAGGGUGAUCGGCCACACUGGAACUGAGACACGGUCCAGACUCCUACGGGAGGCAGCAGUAGGGAAUCUUCCGCAAUGGGCGAAAGCCUGACGGAGCAACGCCGCGUGAGUGAUGAAGGUCUUCGGAUCGUAAAACUCUGUUAUUAGGGAAGAACAUAUGUGUAAGUAACUGUGCACAUCUUGACGGUACCUAAUCAGAAAGCCACGGCUAACUACGUG
rnacentral:rRNA from 1 species